rnacentral:misc_RNA from 1 species
GAUGAAGAACGUAGCGAAAUGCGAUAAGUAAUGUGAAUUGCAGAAUUCAGUGAAUCAUCGAAUCUUUGAACGCACAUUGCGCCCUCUGGUAUUCCGGGGGGCAUGCCUGUUCGAGCGUCAUUAUAACCACUCAAGCUCUCGCUUGGUAUUGGGGCUCGCGGUUCCGCGGCCCCUAAAAUCAGUGGCGGUGCCUGUCGGCUCUACGCGUAGUAAUGCUCCUCGCGAUUGAGUCCGGUAGGUCUACUUGCCAGCAACCCCCAAUUUUUACAGGUUGACCUCGGAUCAGGUAGGGAUACCCGCUGAACUUAAGCAUAUCAAUAAGCGGAGGA